rnacentral:sRNA from 1 species
AUGUAGCAUAGGCAGGAUCUAAGCUAGUGUUGGUAUCAUAUUCUGUAACUUAAGUGAAACUCUUUCUUUGUAAAAUUGGCUGGCCUCUGGUUUUCUACUGUAACAACAAGACACAGAUAAGUCACCUAUCUAGUCCCUUCCUCCUCUCAGGUUACUGUCUAUACCCAGCCUCAUGCUUGUAGUAUUGAGUGACUAGACACAAAGCAAAGCAUGGCAAGUUCAUAGGAAAUUUCUCAGAACCAAGAAUUACCCAGCCACAAAGAUAAACACUACCAAGUCUUAAAGGUCUGCAUCAAAGCUAAUAAUCUGCUAACAUUUGAUUGAAAAAUCUAGGCUUGGGUUGACAAGAUGGCUCAGUGGGUAAAAGCCUUUGUACCACAAGCCUGACACCUGAAUUCAAUCCUCAGGUGGAAGGAGAGAAUUGACUCCAAAAAGUUGUCUCUGAACUUUAUACAUUAUAGCACUAGCACAUGUAUGUUGUAGUCACACACAUACACACACGCAUAUAUAAUUUUAAAAUUAAAAAUUAAAUUCCAGGUUUAGGUCAAUAAAUAUUACCUAUCGUAACUAUUACCUUUAUCAUUGCUUCCACAGACUAUCUGACAAAAGCAAAUUAAGGAAUUAAGAAUUUAUUUUGUCUGCCCAUUGGUACAGUUGGUUCAUCAUGGAUGAUCCUGGGUCCUGUCAAGCUGAUAAUCAGGAUUAACUAUUGCAGGCUCCUACCUGGCCACUGUGAUGGAUCCAGAAGUGAGCACAUGUCCUGAAUUAUCUCAGAGACGGAUCCCUGAUGCAUUCAGGGCAGGAGAGGGCAGAUCAUUUAUUUCAUGGAGUUGAGGACAGGUGUGUUUGUGACCCACUGCCCCUGCCUCCUGUGUCUCCUCCUGCCUCCCUACAGCUGCUUCCUCCCACUUCUGAUGCACUGGACGUUAGGAAGCAUCUAUCCCCAUGGACCAUUAUCCAUCAAACUUUCUCUACAGGACCAGCGAUGAGAGCCAAGAGACAGCUGUGGCCACCACCUGUCUUGACGGUUUAGGGUUGUUUUCCUAGACUCUUGAUGCAUUUGGCAAUGGAGUGGCAUUUGAAUGAUAUUAGUGAUGCCCCUGGUUGUUGUGUACAGAGCUCUGAAGUGUCCUCCUAUCACAGAAGCUCAGCAGUGAUGCAGACACUCUUGUAAGCCCUGUUUUCCACAUGAGGUAAUGGGCCAAGGGAGGUGAAAUAAUUUGCCAAAGUCCACACAGCUGGUGAAUGAAGCCCCUAAUUCCUGGAUCAUAGAAAAUAAAGGUAGGAAAAA